rnacentral:rRNA from 1 species
CGUAGGAGGCGAGCGUUAUCCGGAUUCACUGGGCGUAAAGCGCGUGCAGGUGGCUUGGUAAGUUAGGCGUGAAAUCUCCCGGCUCAACUGGGAGAGGUCGUCUAAUACUACCGGGCUAGAGAGCAGAAGAGGAAGAUGGAAUUCCCGGUGUAGUGGUGAAAUGCGUAGAUAUCGGGAGGAACACCAGUGGCGAAGGCGAUCUUCUGGUCUGUUUCUGACACUCAGACGCGACAGCUAGGGUAGUAAACGGGAUUAGAGACCCCGGUAAUCCUAGCCGUAAACGAUGUGAACUUGGCGUUGGUGGGUUAAACUCCAUCAGUGCCAAAGCAAACGCGAUAAGUUCACCGCCUGGGGACUACGGCCGCAAGGUUA